rnacentral:rRNA from 1 species
CAGUAGCCGCGGUAAUACGAGGGGGGCAAGCGUUGUUCGGAAUUAUUGGGCGUAAAGGGUGCGUAGGCGGUUUGACAAGUCUUAUGUGAAAUCUCUGGGCUCAACCCAGAGUCUGCAUGGGAAACUGUCGGUCUUGAGUAUGGGAGAGGUGAGUGGAAUUUCCGGUGUAGCGGUGAAAUGCGUAGAUAUCGGAAGGAACACCUGUGGCGAAAGCGGCUCACUGGACCAUAACUGACGCUGAGGCACGAAAGCUAGGGGAGCAAACAGGAUUAGAUACCCCAGUAGUCCCUGUCUCUUAUAC